UCUCCGUUGGUGAGCCAGCGGAGGGAUCAUUACAGAGUUUUCACAACUCCCAACCCUUGCGAACCGUACCCAUUCUGUUCUCGUUGCGUCCGGCGGGGGGGACGGGGGGGACCGAAACGGCCCCCCCGCCCCGCCCGCCGGGGGCGGCGGGCCCUACGAACCUUUCUUUCUCAACCAACAGAAACCGAAUGAGAAAACGAAACAAAAAAUCAAACAUUUUAACAACAGAUCUCCUGGCUCUGGCAUCGAAUAAGAACGCAGCAGUACGGAAGAGCAAAC
rnacentral:misc_RNA from 1 species